rnacentral:rRNA from 1 species
GUGGGGAAUUUUGGACAAUGGGCGCAAGCCUGAUCCAGCAAUGCCGCGUGCAGGAAGAAGGCCUUCGGGUUGUAAACUGCUUUUGUACGGAACGAAACGGUCCGGGUUAAUACCCUGGGCUAAUGACGGUACCGUAAGAAUAAGCACCGGCUAACUACGUGCCAGCAGCCGCGGUAAUACGUAGGGUGCAAGCGUUAAUCGGAAUUACUGGGCGUAAAGCGUGCACAGGCGGUUUUGUAAGACAGGCGUGAAAUCCCCGGGCUCAACCUGGGAAUUGCGCUUGUGACUGCAAGGCUGGAGUGCGGCAGAGGGGGAUGGAAUUCCGCGUGUAGCAGUGAAAUGCGUAGAUAUGCGGAGGAACACCGAUGGCGAAGGCAAUCCCCUGGGCCUGCACUGACGCUCAUGCACGAAAGCGUGGGGAGCAAACAGGAUUAGAUACCCGGGUAGUCC